rfam:Camelus ferus unplaced genomic scaffold scaffold1749, whole genome shotgun sequence.
CAGGGUAUAGCUCAAUGGCAGAGCAUGUGCUUAGGAUGCACGAAGUCUUGGGUUCAAUCCCCAAUACCUUCA